rnacentral:lncRNA from 1 species
GGCGGACGCUGGGUCUGCAGAUGCCAUCCAGGCGCACGGCGGGUAUAGUGGUUCCGCAACCUUGGGAUGUUCGGCUGAGCGCCUGCCUAACAUGGGAGCGCCUGCCUAACCCUCCUGACUGGAGGGUCAGCGGCGGGGAGUCCUGGCCUUCAAUCGGCCAUCGCCACGGCAGAAACUGGGGCCCGGGCUGCGUCCAGGCCCUUCCCCGUCCGUCCACAGGUCUCAUGGGCGCCCGGACUGGGGCUGAUGUAGUUUCCCGACCUCUGACACAUAGGAUCUGGAGAUUAAAGCUGCUCUGCUAAUAAUUAGGUUCCCACCUCUCAAGAUCAUUAGGAGCUUCUUUUCCAAUUCCUCUGUUUUGCAUGCAUUGGAAGGUUUACAUCGGUUGCCCCAGGGGAAGUGCCUGGCCCCCAUCUGGUCCUUGCUGCUCUAACUUUGCCCUGUUAAUUGAAGAAAUGCAGGAUCUGGAGCUCAGGACCCACUACCUCCCCGGCCCACUGCAAGCUUGAACAUUUGAUGGUGGACACCCCUCCCUGACUUUGUAUUAUGUGUCACUGGUGUGGGGGUUACCUUCCCACUAUGUCUCCCAGAAGACAUGAGGGCACAGACUACAGUGCCUGUGGACAGAGGAGCUGUGGGGAUGGAAGUGUGAUUGCUUCAUUCAAAUGCACGCCCCGGUGCGUGUGCGUCUCUUCUGAUGCAGCUCCCCAUGGAUACCCCAUCAGCCUGAGUCUCUUAAAGGCCUUUAUACACAUAUGUCUACACAUAGGGAUUUGGAUGAUCUCGGGAUCCCACAUCCUCGCUGUCCCCUGUCCCCCCACAACAUCCCACACCAAUACCUUUCUGAAGUUUUCUAGUCCCUCCUUUUUGUUUGUGGUCCUUAAAGCCCAGCCCCAUGCCUGACUUUGGUUCCCAGUGAGCAUUGUACAUUUGUGGAUAUUAAAUCUUUGGCAAAGUCAUUUACCUGGGCUGGAA